UCUGCCUCAGGCAUGGCCAGCAAAAAAUCCAUUGUCAGCGCCCAAUCCCUGUGCUCGCUCAACAAUGGAUGGGCCAAUGGCGUUUCGGCCUCACAAUGGAUUCGGCCAAUCACGGCGCCGCAGGGCAAACCGGCCAAAUCUCGCGGCAAGCGGCCAAAUCUCGCGGCAAGUCUCGCGAAGGUUGGUACGACGUACGCAACGUACACUUCAACAAUGGAUGGGCCAAUGGUGCGUCGGCCUCACAAUGGAUUCAGCCAAUCGUUACGCCGCACAAGAUCACGAACACGGCUACGCAUGACAUUGGACGUAAGCUCUUUUCUACAACGAAGACAACGUGUCAACCAUGAGCACAAAACCAAAGAGCCACAAGGCUAUGAGCGAUAAGGAGUGGAUGGCAAGGCUGAGGGCGUUUGCCAGCUCUGGGGUUUGGCCUUCUGGAGGAGGCAACAGACCAGCCCCAAGGCAGAAGAAGUGGUUCGCCUUCUAUCAGAAGAUUGAGAAAUGCCCCAUGCAGGCCCGUGGACAGACCACGCUCUUUGGAGGGUCCAUGGCCGCCAUGGCCUGUGAUUGUG